rnacentral:rRNA from 1 species
AAUGGUAGUUAUCCCGUAAGUGUACACCUCUUCCCAUUCCGAACAGAGAAGUUAAGCCUUAUUGCACCAAUGGUACUACAUAAAGUGGAAGAGUAGGUCGCUGCCAACG